rfam:Anopheles sinensis unplaced genomic scaffold AS2_scf7180000689026, whole genome shotgun sequence.
ACAACGGCCCUUUUCAGGGCCAACAAUUAAUAAUGAAAGAUUAUUU